AGCACAAGAUCAAAACAAAAAUGACAAACACAUUUGAACUCUGACUUCAGGAGUGGGAACUGGGUUGGGUCACCAUAAAACACACUUGAGAGCAAGAGCAGUAAUCACCUUGUGAUCAGAACUUUGACCCACUGCCAUCAGAAUGGAGGUACAGAAGGCAGAAUCGCCAGACUGGGUACCAGCUUCUUCCUCAGACUAUGAGACUAAUGAAUACCCUGCCAUCACCGUGGUCUCAUCCCUUGGACAGUGAGCUGUUUACUGCUUGCCUAUGCUGUGCAAUGCAUGCAUUUUGAAUUAUAUUUUACUAACGUAUUCGUGGUAAUACUUUGUUUCAUGUGCUGUGAGCCAUAUAUAUUUUGUGGGUCACCGUCGUCUGGAGGAACACCGUUUCAUUUGGUUGUGUAUAUGUACAGUCGGAUGACGAUAAACUUGAUCUUGAACUUGAAGAGAUUCUGCAGAUGCUGGAAAUCUUGAACAAAGUGCUAGAGAAACUCAGCAGGUCAGGCAGAAGCUACAUGGCCAAUCAACAAUCAGCCCAGGACAGAGAACUAGUGAGCUGCUGUCAGCAGCCAAAGCCCCAGUAGGGAUGAUUGGUUUGAGAAGGAGGAGAACAGGAUGCUGCCUGACUUGCUGAGCUCUUCCAACAAGUGGAAACAUGAACCAUUUCGCAACCACAAGAGAUUCUGCCGAUGCUGGAAAUCCAGAGUAACACACACAAAAUGCUAGAGGAACUCACAGGGUCAGAAACAAAAGGCCUGUCUUGGAAGAACUGUGUUGGCAUCUGUACUGAUGGUGCCCCAUCAAUGGAGCAAUUGAGAUGAGAUUUACUGACCUUCCCCUGGACAAGUUCUGGAUUUCUGUGAAAGAAGAGUAUCCGGCCAUUCAUAGGAAAGCAUUGAACAUUUUGCUGCAGUUUUCAACUUCUUACAUGAGCACCACUGAGGUUGACCAACUGCAUCACCAUCUGCUAUGGGAAUUGAAAAGCACCUGAUCAGAAGACCCUACAAAAAAUUGCGAGGAAUGCUGAGAAGAUCAUCAGGGUCUAUUUUCCACCCAUCCAAGAUAUUUAUCAGGAGUGCUGCAUAGCAGGAACCUUAGCAUUGUCUGUUAUCCCUCUCAACCAACCUACGAUCUUUUUGACCCCUACCAUCAGGCAGAAUAUACUGUGGACAAGGAUUGUUAGGAUGGGAAACAGCUUCUUUUCCCAGGUCAUAAGACAACUGAACUCCCUGCCACCACCCAGGCCUCGGUACGUAUGAAGCAUCAGUAGCAUUUAAUUUAUCUGUGGUAUUAUUACUUUAUGCGGUGUGUGUGAGAUACAUGUUCUAGGUUGUACAUCUUAGUCCGGAGGAAUGUUGUUUUGUU